CAAGUAAGAUUAUUUUAUGUUACAUCCUAGCAUUCAUGGUUCAGCCAUUUUAAUAAAUACUAACCAAGCAUGUUAUAUUAGAUGACCCAGCUAGCUCGGUUGAUACAUCAAUCUCGCAUAAUGAAUCAACAUAUCCUCCUAAAGCUACGGGCACGUCUGAUGUAAUUGCAGAUAAAAAUAUAGAAGAUACAAAGUGAUGGGUUCCGACAUAUGCACUGAUGUAACGAUGACAGACCGCACUGAAACACCACGAGAAGAGGAGACAUGGAUAUGGACUUUGGAGAUGCACGGAAAGAAUCCAUUGAGGGUUCAUAUGCGAUGUUGCUGCAAGGGGACAA